rnacentral:rRNA from 1 species
GACGAACCGUGCGAACGUUAUUCGGAAUCACUGGGCUUAAAGCGCGUGUAGGCGGGACGGCACGUCGGUCGCUGAAAGCCCCCGGCUCAACCGGGGAACGGGCGCCGAUACGACCGUCCUGGAGGGACGUAGGGGGACCUGGAACUUCCGGUGGAGCGGUGAAAUGCGUUGAGAUCGGAAGGAACGCCCGUGGCGAAAGCGAGGUCCUGGACGUUUUCUGACGCUGAGACGCGAAAGCCAGGGGA